GGCCCAGACUCCUACGGGAGGCAGCAGUGGGGAAUAUUGCACAAUGGGCGGAAGCCUGAUGCAGCAACGCCGCGUGCGGGAUGACGGCCUUCGGGUUGUAAACCGCUUUCGCCUGUGACGAAGCGUGAGUGACGGUAAUGGGUAAAGAAGCACCGGCUAACUACGUGCCAGCAGCCGCGGUAAGACGGAGGAUGCAAGUGUUAUCCGGAAUGAUUGGGCGUAAAGCGUCCGCAGGUGGCAGUUCAAGUCUGCUGUCAAAGACCGGGGCUUAACUUCGGAAAGGCAGUGGAAACUGAACAGCUAGAGUAUGGUAGGGGCAGAGGGAAUUCCUGGUGUAGCGGUGAAAUGCGUAGAGAUCAGGAAGAACAUCGGUGGCGAAGGCGCUCUGCUGGACCAUAACUGACACUCA
rnacentral:rRNA from 1 species